CUUUUUCUUGUUUCUAAAAUCUACUACAGAUGUUGGAGACAAAUGAAAUUUUGAACCAUGAGAAAAGAAUUGGCAACGUUCCAGGUAUCAAUAUUGGGCAUCGAUUCUAUUCACGGGCUGAAAUGGUAGCUGUUGGAUUUCACAGCCACUGGCUGAAUGGAAUUGAUUACAUGGGGUUGUCAUACAGCAAAAUGUACAGUAAUUACUCCUUCCCACUUGCGGUGGCCAUAGUUUUAUCGGGCAUGUAUGAGGAUGAUUUGGAUAAUGCUGAGGAUGUCAUUUACACUGGUCAAGGAGGACAAAAUUUAACUGGCAAUAAACGUCAGAUCCGGGAUCAAAAAAUGGAACGUGGUAAUUUGGCUCUCAAGAAUUGUAUUGAGCAAGGUGUCCCAGUGAGAGUGGUUCGGGGGCAUGAAUCUGCCACUAGUUACUGUGGGAAACUCUACACAUAUGAUGGCUUGUAUAAGGUUAUACAGUAUUGGGCAGAAAAAGGUAUUUCUGGAUUUACUGUGUUUAAAUUUCGUCUUAGGCGUAUUGAAGGACAGUCGUUGUUGACUACAAACCAGGUUCAAUUUAUAUAUGGUCGGGUUCCCAAGUCAGUUUCAGAAAUACGUGGGUUGGUGUGUGAGGAUAUCGCUGGGGGUCAGGAGGAUAUUCCUAUUCCAGCAACUAAUUUGGUUGACGAUCCACCUGUUGCACCCAUAGGUUUCACUUAUUGUAAAUUCAUUAAAGUUGCACGUGGUGUGAAACUUCCUCCGAAUGCUAAUGGAUGCGACUGUAAAGAAUCAUGUAUCACUUCAAGGACAUGUUCAUGUGCUAAGCUUAAUGGAUCAGACUUCCCAUAUGUGCAACGUGAUGGUGGAAGACUUAUAGAAGCCAAGGAUGUGGUUUACGAAUGUGGUCCCAAUUGUGGUUGUGGUGUUGGUUGUGUGAAUCGAACUUCUCAGAGGGGGAUCAAAUAUCGACUUGAGGUUUUCCGAACACCAAAGAAAGGGUGGGCUGUUAGGUCUUGGGAUUUUAUACCUUCUGGCGCACCUGUUUGUGAAUACACAGGAAUACUUGCAAGGACAGAGGAUCUUGAUCAUGUAUCAGAGAAUAAUUAUAUCUUCGACAUUGAUUGUUUGCAAACAAUUAGGGGCAUCGGUGGACGAGAGAGGCGCUCAAGAGAUGCAUCCUUGCCAGCAAACAAUUCUUUGGAUGUUGUAGAUGAUCGAAGAUCCGAAAGUGUGCCAGAGUUUUGCAUUGAUGCUUGUUCCACUGGAAAUAUUGCCAGGUUUAUCAAUCAUAGUUGCGAACCUAAUCUUUUUGUCCAAUGUGUAUUGAGCUCACACCAUGACAUCAAACUUGCUCGAGUGGUACUAUUUGCUGCAGAAAACAUACCACCUCUCCAGGAACUGACAUACGACUAUGGGUAUGCACUUGAUAGCGUGUAUGGUCCAGAUGGGAAGAUAAAACAGAUGCCAUGCUUCUGUGGUGCAACUGAGUGUAGGAAACGCUUGUUUUAGUCUAGUGAAAGCCAUCAGAUGCUGGUACACUAUCAAUAUGGUAACGGUUGACAACAAUUUUUUAGUACCACAUAUGAAGGUGGACUGAGAUGUUUCUGAUGCGAAAUUCCUAGUCUAUCUCAUCUCACCACCUUGAAUACAAAGGAUGGAAAGAUGACUUUCUUUUAGUUUCUAGAAUUGUAGUUACUAGAAAGAAAAAGAAAGUGUACAGAAUCAUACAGAAGAAAUUGGAAUCCAAGGGGCCAGUCAACAAACAAGCUACUUCGUUCAGUAAAUGACGGCCACAAAAGGUAUACUGCAAAAGAUAAUUCAAUUAAAAAACAUCAUUAUUUUCAAA